UACGUAGGGAGCGAGCGUUGUCCGGAAUCAUUGGGCGUAAAGCGCGCGUAGGCGGCCCGAUAAGUCGGCUGUAAAAGUCAACGGCUCAACUGUUGAAAGCCGGUGGAUACUGUCGGGCUAGAGUACGGAAGAGGCAAGUGGAAUUCCUGGUGUAGCGGUGGAAUGCGCAGAUAUCAGGAGGAACACCCAUAGCGAAGGCAGCUUGCUGGGACGUUACUGACGCUAAGGCGCGAAAGCGUGGGGAGCGAACAGG
rnacentral:rRNA from 1 species